CCGUCUCUCUACGACCAACAACAACAAUCCCUUUCUUGGUUUAUUUUCAUUGCUUCUCUCUCCACCUCUGUGAACACGCCCCUCGUCUCUCUCUCUCUCACACACACACUCUCUCUCCUUCUUCUCUCUUUCCUGGCCUUUUUUCGUCUUUUUUCAGCUAUUGUCGCUCCCUCUCCUAAUCAGACGACCGAUAAUCCUCCACGUCCACGUCGUCUUCUUCAUCCUUCCUUCUUCCCUGUUAUAUAACCGCUUCGUUCGCUUCUCCUUUCCCGUUUCUUCUGUUUCUAGGGUUUCUGGAAAUGCGAGAAAAGAAGAGAGAAACCGCAGACUUCAUGGUGCCUGCGCAUUCUAAUCAGUCAAUUCUCGUCUUCCGAUUGAGGAUCUGAACUUCGCAGACAUCGACGGAGAAACUGUUCGUUGGACGAAUUAGGGUAUCAUCGUUUUUUGUUCACAUAGAAGUUGAGAAUUUGCGGUUUGGUUCGAGAGAGAAGAACCGGGAUUUUGUUGCAUCCAUUACACUCUCUUUCUGUAGCUUGAUGGCAAUUGUAAAGAAUAACUUUAGGGUUUCGAAGUUAGAUGGUGAGCUUUCUCCGGGGUGUAGAGACAGUCUGUCGACUGAUGAGGAUGAACUUCCAAGGCGAAGUACUGCCUCGGAAUCUAAUGAUGACAAUGACGAAGAUGACGACGACGCUGACUCUGGAGCAGGUUCUGAUGACUUUGAUAUGUUGGAAUUGGGAGAAAUUGGAGCCGAAUUUUGUCAAGUUGGGAAUCAGAACUGCUGUUUACCGUUUGAACUCUAUGAUCUUCCGGACCUGGGGGAAGUUCUGACAUUGGAUACUUGGAAUAAUUGCCUAACUGAAGAGGAGCGUUUUAGCCUUGCGGAGUACCUACCAGACAUGGACCAGGAGACUUUCAUGCGUACCCUAAAAGAGCUCUUCUCUGGAAGCAAUUUUCAUUUUGGAAGCCCUGUUGCCAAACUCUUCAAUCUGUUGAAGGGAGGACUAUGCGAACCAAGAGUUGCCCUUUAUCGGCAGGGUUUGAAUUUAUUCCAGAAGCGCCAACACUACCACCUUCUACGUAAAUAUCAGAAUUCCAUGGUCAGCAGUCUUAUGCAGAUAAAGGAUGCUUGGGAGAACUGUGUGGGAUACAGUAUUGAAGAGAGGCUUCGUAUUCUGAAUAUAAUGAGAAGUCAGAGGAGUCUGAUGUAUGAGAAGAUGGAAGACCUGGGGUUGGAGAGUGGCUUCUCAGAACAGGAGGAAUCUGGUGAAGGUUUCUGGGGAAAAAGACCAAAAGACAUUAAAUUGGGGACAAAAGCAGGUCGUCGUGCAGUGUAUUCAGUGAGUCCAGUUCUGGAUGUUUCUUCUCGAAGAAAGUCUACUGCUGCGGAACCAAUGAAAUAUGGAAAGCAGAACCCAAGAGGGACAUUGAAGUUUUCUGGAUCAAAAGCCUCUUCUGCAAAAGAGUUCAUGGGUCACUUUCCUUCUGCCCAGCAUGGCUUGAAAAUGAAGUCUAAAUCAUAUCUUCCAACAGUAGCUCAUCCUUGGCAAGAUCAGGUGGUAGGGUAUGGGUAUGGAGCUGCUCAUCGAUCAAGGGGUCAGGUAAGAGGUGUGGAAGAGUUGGAUGAAUCAGCAUAUGAGAUGAAUCUCCAGAGAGAUCGACAUGCUCCACGUGGGAGUGCAGUAGCCAAAGUUGGCUCAUUCAAACCAGGGAAGAAAUCCGAAUUCCUCAGAGGCAAAGAUGACUUUCCCAUUGAUGAUUUUAUGGGUUUGCCUUUGUCUGUAAAGAAUGACUCUCCUUCUCAUGGUAGGACCAGGUAUGUCAAUCAGAGGGCAGAUAUAGAAUCUUUAACUGAAAAAGUGAAUAAUGAACGAGCUUCCUAUAAUUAUCAUUCCUUGGUGGCUGGGAAAAAGGCCAAGUAUCUGGGGAAGUUUCAGAAACCUGCGGUUGAAGAUCAGAUGAAAACUGUUAAUGAUAGAGCACAACAUACGUUAUUGAAGGGAAAUCACAUUGACUGGUCUUCUGGAAAUGGGUCGUCACGACAUAACAAAGCACAAGAAGAAGCCUUUUCUGUGGAUCUUCCAGUGAAUUUUGAUGAUUGGGGAGUUAGAAGCAAGAAAUGGAAGCUGGGGAAGGAGUAUCAAACUGGUAAGAACAGUUUGGGUUCUGAUUUCAAAGUUAGAUCUCAUAGAGCUUUUCCAACAGAAAUGGAAGAUAAAUUUGCUUAUGGGAAAACAGUGCAAGAGAAAAUCAAGUGGAAGUCUCCACAAAAUGGAGGAGUAAAAAGGGAGGAGCUGAGAGGCAUCAAUAUGUUUUCCCAGAGUGAGGAGACAGAGUCAGAUUCAUCAGAACAAGCCAAUGAAGAAGAUGAUAUUAAUCUUUUGGGGAGUAAGCUUGACUACCCUGGCAAUGUAUUGGAAGGUCGUAGGUCUGCUUCUGUCAAAUCUCUGGCAGAUCCUAAAAAAGCCAACAAACUUGUGAGGAAGGAUAAAAAGGAAUAUGCUCAGGGUCUUGAUGCAAUGACAUAUCCAUCCAAGAAGGGUAGUGAUCUUGGUGAACAGAUGCAUACAACAGAAAUAGAGAUGUACUUGUCCAAAGGAAAAUAUAAAGAUCAAAUACACGAUCCAAUGUACUUUGCUGCUGGAAUCCUGGCCAGCAAUUUCUCUACUUCAGCUAAAUGGGUUGAUGAUGAUAGGAAACAAACUCACAAGUUGGGAAAGAAUGGUCAUUUGCAGAGUGAACCUGGUGAAAGGUCACAUCUACCAUUGUCAAAGGCCUAUCCUGCAGAGAGGAAGCAGAAAGGAAAUUAUGAUCAUGAUCAUUUUGUGUCUCAGUCAAAUUACAUGCAUGAUUAUAUUAGUGGAGAUGAUGAUGAUGAUGAUUUACAUGGAUCACAUAGGUUGGUGGAUGAUCAUGAGCAUACUACUAAAUCGGGGAAGAAAGGGCAAAACACUGAAACUAUUGUAAGCAAUCAUCAUGAAAGGUCAGAUAUGUUGUUGCUAGGGUGCAGCUCAGUGACAAAGAAGCGGAAAGGGAAGGCAGAUCUGACAUACAUGGAUGAACCAGAUGAAUCUGGUUACAUGAACUCCAGUCCUAAGCAGCAGAUUGAUGGCACAGCACCCCUGAAGAAACGGGGUAAAAGGAAAGUGGAGGCUGAAACUGGUUCUUCAGCUAUGAUAACUUCUCAACCACUUGUUUCAGAAAGGGGAGCUACAGAUGUAGAACCAGAAACAAAACCAGCAAAGAAGCCAUUCACUUUGAUAACGCCUACUGUUCAUACUGGCUUCUCAUUUUCCAUUAUACAUCUUCUUUCAGCUGUUCGUGCAGCAAUGAUUACUCCAUAUGCAGAAGACACCUCAGAGUUUGGGCAGCACCUUGAGAAGAAAGAUGGGAGACAAAAUCUUUAUAAAGAAGAGCAAGCUAGAAAACAAGAAGGGAUCAAUAGGGAACCUUCUUUUCCAUCUCAUGAGAGUUUGGAUGUCAACGAUUCAGAUCUCCCAAGACAGAAGACUUUGCCUUCUCUCACUGUUCAAGAGAUAGUCAACCGCGUUAGAUCAAACCCUGGAGAUCCUUGUAUUCUCGAAACACAAGAGCCACUCCAGGAGUUGGUCAGAGGAGUACUGAAACUAUUUUCAUCCAAAACAGCACCUUUAGGAGCAAAAGGUUGGAAAUCGCUUGUAUUUUAUGAAAGAUCCACAAAAAGCUGGUCUUGGAUUGGACCAGUUUCUUCCAACUCUUCAGAUCAUGAGAUUGUUGAAGAGGAAACAUCUUCUGAGGCUUGGGGUCUUCCUCACAGGAUGCUUGUGAAGCUGGUUGAUGCAUUUGCUAAUUGGCUGAAAAGUGGUCAAGAGACCCUCCAGCAGUUAGGAAGCCUUCCUGCACCACCUGUGACACUGAUGCAACCCAUCCAGGAUGCGAAGGAAAGGUUCAGGGACUUAAGAGCUCAGAAGAGUCUUACCACUAUCAGCCCGAGCUCUGAAGAAGUAAGGGCCUAUUUUCGUAAGGAGGAACAAUUAAGAUAUUCUGUUCCAGACAGGGCUUUUUCUUACACAGCUGCUGAUGGUAAAAAAUCCAUUGUUGCUCCUCUGAGAAGGUGUGGUGGCAAACCAACAUCAAAAGCCAGAGACCAUUUUAUGCUUAAACCUGAUAGGCCACCUCAUGUUACAAUUCUGUGUCUUGUGAGGGAUGCAGCUGCUAGAUUGCCUGGAAGUAUGGGUACUAGAGCCGAUGUUUGCACCUUGAUAAGAGAUUCACAGUAUAUUGUAGAAGAUGUCUCCGAUGCACAAAUUAACCAAGUAGUCAGUGGAGCGCUGGAUCGUCUGCAUUAUGAGCGUGAUCCUUGUGUGCAAUUUGAUGGAGAUAGGAAAAUAUGGGUUUAUUUACACAGGGAGAGAGAAGAAGAAGAUUUUGAAGAUGAUGGCACCUCAUCUACAAAAAAAUGGAAAAGACAAAGGAAGGAUGCUACGGAGCAGUCAUACCCUGGAACAGUAAAUGCAGCUUAUAAUGGGGCUGGAGAUCAAAUUGGAAGUAGUACAGCUGGUGGACGUGAUUUGAUCUCUGAUCUUAAUGUUGAAUCUUCAUCUAUGCAUGAAAGAAAAAGAAAGGAGCUUGUUUAUGAUGAUUCAAGGCCAAAUUUGGAGGAGGAUGUUGAGCCCUUCGAUGGCUCAGCCCAAGAUGAUGCGCAUGAAGCUCGUCCAAUGGAUUGGGAGGCUAUUGAUUUGAAUCCCGUGCGGGAUGACAAAAUGCUGUGUCAAGAGAAUUCCACAAAUGAAGAUUUUGAUGAUGAAGUGUUUAGCAGAGAAAGAGAGAGACCAGUUGGGAUUUUAGCUGCAAGCUUACUGUGAAGAACAAUAGAUUUGUUGUCACACCAAGUUUUUCAGGAAUGGUCCAGGUGUAGAAGACCACCAAGUAUGCAUGAUGUGAUUGUCCUUUAGGUGCUGUCUAUACAUUGAAGGAUAGAGCCCUACUCUCCAGAUGUCUAGAGAAGUAAAGAAAUGACAUCAGAAUCAGAUACAGCCAUUGGCUGACAUAUUGAGCACAUGAAUUAAAACAAAAGUGUAAGCUUUUGUCCCCAAGUGUGGCAUACUCCAUUCUAAGGAUGUUCAUUCUCUUACGAGGGUAUUAUUACUCUCAUAUAUGCCAGAGUGCGACCAGUUGGUGAAAACAGGUCCUCCCCAAGUUGCAUUCCCAGACUCGAAGUCGAGGAAUCCCAGAAUAAGGUUGACUGAUGCUCAGUUCUUCCGUAAACGUGGGGCUCACAGCUGAAGUGGAUCAACUAUAACAGCUUAUUACUUUGUCUUUGAGCAAGUUUUAAUGACGGAAGCUGAAGUUGAGUAAACAUUGAGUGAAGUUCAGAUUUGUGACUUCCUCAUCUAUAUGUUGGACUUGGACCUAGUCACCUAAAGCUAAGACCACGGAUGUGACGAAAGGUGCUCGCCACGCUGAUUCGUGGUUAUAUUACUGCCAUCACUGUCCACGAAGUGCAAUCUUUUGGCACGCAAUUCUGUGAGUCCGUUUCCCUAUGGCUUAGAGUUCGAAAUCUGCACACAUCCCUGCAAAAUUUCUGUCGUCGUUUCUGAAUGCCAUAAUUUUCCCCAAUUGUUCUACGAAGAAUCUUGUCUCAGACUGUUCCAUUAGGUAAGGGAGUCACUGCUGGAUGUUCAAGCCUGCAGUUCGUACAAACUACACAAACGCCCGACUGCCUCUGCCUUUGGAAAGUUUUUAGGGGAUUAGUUUUGAUGAAUUUUGUGAUUCUAAGAAUCAUUGAGUUUGGAUGAAUGGAACACCUUUGAACCAAACGGAAUUUAUUGUGAAUAUCAAAUUUGUUUCCAUUAAGGUGGUGUUCAGUAUCGUGGAAUGACACGAGAUACUUAGGA